AACCAUAAGGGCCUGAUACUCAGGUUAGGAAUGUUACUACAAGUCAACCUCGUACCCAGGGUUUUUCCUCUUGGCGAGGGGAGAAAAGACCCUGGUAGACGCUGGUCACGUGAUCUGCUAAAAUCUACUAGCAGAUUUUUAAUUAGCAAUCCAAGAUGAGGUCAAUAAAUAUUUGAUAUUUGGAUGAUUUUUAUAGUUUAAUUUAUAAUUUGUUUUUUGUAUGAUUGUCGUAAAGGAAUCCAAGAUAGUUAAUUAGAAAUCUGCUAGAUUUUAGCAGAUCACGUGACCAGCGUCUACCAGGUCUUUGCUCCCCAAGAGGAAAGACCCUGGGUACGAGGUUGACUACAAGUUUAUUGGAAACUUAAAUUUGCCGACCUGUUUUUGUCUCAGCGUGACAUAACUCUUAGUGGCUACAUAUAACGUUCACGCGUUGUUAUAACAGAUAGCAGGCUUGCAUGUCAUUUUCCCAUGUUCAAGUGAAUUGACGUGAUAUUAUUAUUAUUAUUAUGUUAUUAUUGUAGUUUCCCAUAAUGAUGGUAAUUGUAUUAUUUAUGCAUUAGGUGUGCAACAACAAAGGAAAUUGUCACUGCAACAGCGGCUACGCGUGUCCAGACUGCCUAGAAGUCGGACCAGAUCAAGGGGGAAGUGUGGACAGCGGACAGGGAUGUCAAGCAAGAAAGAAAAGUAUGAUAGCCCGAUGUAAUAAAUUGUCUGCAUUGAGUAAAGACUGAUUUACAUGCCAAUAUGGUACCCAGGGCAUUUUACCUCACGGCGGAAG